CGAAUGGCUCAUUAUAUAAGUUAUCGUUUAUUUGAUAGUGCCUUACUACUUGGAUAACCGUGGUAAUUCUAGAGCUAAUACAUGCUAAAAGACCCGACUUUGGAAGGGUUGUAUUUAUUAGAUUAAAAACCAAUGCCCUCUGGGCUCACUGGUGAAUCAUGAUAACUUCGCGAAUCGCAUGGCCUUGUGCCGGCGAUGGCUCAUUCAAAUUUCUUCCCUAUCAACUUUCGAUGUUUGGGUAGUGGCCAAACAUGGUUGCAACGGGUAACGGAGGGUUAGGGCUCGACCCCGGAGAAGGAGCCUGAGAAACGGCUACUACAUCCAAGGAAGGCAGCAGGCGCGCAAAUUACCCAAUCCCGAUUCGGGGAGGUAGUGACAAUAAAUACUGAUACAGGGCUCUUUUGGGUCUUGUAAUUGGAAUGAGUACAAUUUAAAUCCCUUAACGAGGAACAAUUAGAGGGCAAGUCUGGUGCCAGCAGCCGCGGUAAUUCCAGCUCUAAUAGCGUAUAUUAAAGUUGUUGUGGUUAAAAAGCUCGUAGUUGAACCUUGGGCCUGGCUGGCGGGUCCGCCUCACCGCGUGUACUUCGCCGGCCGGGCCUUUCCCUCUGUGGAACCCUAUGCCCUUCACUGGGUGUGGUGGGGAAACAGGACUUUUACUUUGAAAAAAUUAGAGUGCUCCAGGCAGGCCUAUGCUCGAAUAUAUUAGCAUGGAAUAAUAAAAUAGGACGUGUGGUUCUAUUUUGUUGGUUUCUAGGACCGCCGUAAUGAUUAAUAGGGACAGCCGGGGGCAUCAGUAUUCAAUUGUCAGAGGUGAAAUUCUUGGAUUUAUUGAAGACUAACUACUGCGAAAGCAUUUGCCAAGAAUGUUUUCAUUAAUCAGGAACGAAAGUUAGGGGAUCGAAGACGAUCAGAUACCGUCGUAGUCUUAACCAUAAACUAUGCCGACUAGGGAUCGGACGAUGUUAUUACUUGACUCGUUCGGCACCUUACGAGAAAUCAAAGUGCUUGGGCUCCAGG
rnacentral:rRNA from 1 species